rnacentral:rRNA from 1 species
GAGAGUUUGAUCCUGGCUCAGAGUGAACGCUGGCGGCAGGCCUAAUACAUGCAAGUCGAACGGCAGCACAGCAGAGCUUGCUCUGUGGGUGGCGAGUGGCGGACGGGUGAGGAAUACAUGGGAAUCUGCCCAGUCGUGGGGGAUAACGUAGGGAAACUUACGCUAAUACCGCAUGCGCCCUUCGGGGGAAAGCCGGGGACCUUCGGGCCUGGCGCGAUUGGAUGAGCCCAUGUCGGAUUAGCUAGUUGGCGGGGUAAUGGCCCACCAAGGCGACGAUCCGUAGCUGGUCUGAGAGGAUGAUCAGCCACACUGGAACUGAGACACGGUCCAGACUCCUACGGGAGGCAGCAGUAGGGAAUAUUGGACAAUGGGCGCAAGCCUGAUCCAGCCAUGCCGCGUGAGUGAAGAAGGCCCUCGGGUUGUAAAGCUCUUUUGUCCGGAAAGAAAAGCGCCGGGUUAAUACCCUAGUGUCCUGACGGUACCGGAAGAAUAAGCACCGGCUAACUUCGUG